CGCCGGUGUUAGCCCAGGUGUUGGUGACGUGGAUAGGUUGAAUGUUAGCUUGCAAACGUUAAAUGAAAAUAGUGAAGAUUAACUUUAUAAAGAUUAUAAAUUUCAUAACCGACGAGCGGCAUAAGCUGAAUUUUUUUUUAUUCAUUUUUCUUUUACUUGAUGCCAUAGAAUUUGUUUUCAACUAAGCGGAUUAUCUAGCAUCAGGAGAAAAGAAAAGCAUAGGUUGGGCACAAACUAAGACAUGGGGAUAAGGUACCGAGAGGGUCUUUAAUUAACGAGAAAUGACCACACUUGUGACACAAGAAAUGUUCAUACCAUGGUAUUUAUUACGAAUAUUUUUGCCAAUCAUCACCAGUUAUUUGAUACUAGAAACGACAACUUCUGAUAUUUUCAAUGGUGAUGUGUACGUAAUAUGUUGCAUGUUCAUGGCAUGUUUGCCUCCUGUGGCAGUGGCAACUCUGGUUGGUCAAUCAAAGUCUUGGCAUCACAGUUAUAGCAGAAGCAACCAACAUCAUCAAGAAAAUCACCAGAAAAUCCACAUGUCCCUACCGUGCUCUUCUGUCGUACGCAAAAAUCGAUACAAAUUGUAUCAUUGCAGGGAUUAGCAGGAAAAUUGGCACGAUAUCGAGUACAAUCAGCAAGUCUAUUUAUAUUGUUGGGUUUGUAUGUGAUAAAAUAGAAGCUAGUAACUUCGUUUGAUUUUUUGAGUUGGCAAUCAUUAAAUGGUAAUUCAAUAAGAUGAUAAGGUGAAUAAUUAAUUGGUUUUAUGUGCUUAGGAUCAACUAUUGGUUGAUAUGGUAGAUGAUUAUCCUUUGUCAAUUGGCAUUUACGAUGUUUCUAACAUUAGGAAAUAAGAUGUAAUGAUCCAAAUUCGUUAAGCUAAAUUUGGACUUAUUAAGUUUAAUUAUGGCCAAUAAAGAUUAAGCAUGUAUUCCUAUCAUAAUUUCAAACAUGGUUUCUUGGGACAUCGAACUCCUCAUGUGAGGUGUUUUGCUACAACGAGUAAGGUAUGUUUUGUCUCUUUUCUUCCUUUUGUUGCUCGUUCGAGAGUUUUGACUGAUUUAGAUCAUGUCGUCCCUCCGGCAACGUGCCCUUUUGAAUUCACGUGUUCAUUCUUGAAUGGUGCCUAUACUGCUUGGACUAGUUGAUUCCGCAUUGCGGCGGGAACUUGAGAUAUGGUUCUCCGUGGAAAACAAAAAUACACAACAUGUUAAGAGCUGUUUUUUAGGAAACACGGAUAUCCGAUAUGCGAUACGGGGAUACCGUGACACGUCAAUUUCUCAAACACAUGGACACGUGAAUAGUCAUUAUAAAAUAGACAAAUGAAAGAUUUUUCAUAGGAUAAAUAUCUCUGUAUCAUGUUCUUAUCUGCACAUAGUCAAAUAUGGUUAAGAAAAUAAAGAUUUCAAAUUCUACCAAGCAAGCAUUGUAAUUUUACUUAAGCAAAAUUGGAUGAUAGCAUGACACCAUCGUCCAAAGGUUCACAGAUCAUAGUCAUAUUUGCUGCCGUUGUGCUUCUCUCCACAUGAACCAAAUAAGGCUAAGCAAGUUGCUGCCAUUGUACUCGUGCUUGAGCUCCCAACCGAAUCUCUGCUCGAUGUGGGGUAGUUGUACUACCUCUGGCCAUGAAAUCUGAGGGCAUGGGGUUGGGCAGCGGCGAGGUGCGGCAGACGGGGCACGUCGGGUGCCGCCGAAGCCAGGGGUCGACGCACUCCCGGUGGAAUAGGUGGCCGCAGUCCGGGAGCACCUGGAGCACGUCGCCCUCGUCAUAGUUGUCCAGGCACACGGAGCAGCACGUGCACGUCGUGGAGGCGCCCAGCUUCUUGUUCUUCCCCUGUUUCCUCGCCUCGCCGUACACCACCUCCGGGUACCCCUUCAGCGUGGCCUCGUCGAUGUCGGGUGAGACGGCGGUUCCGUCCACCAUCCAUCCAGAGGAGGACUGUCGCAUUGGUGGCCGAAGAUUGAGCGGCGGCGGCGUCCAGAGGCUGGGAGCUCGGAGUGGUGAGCCAGGAAAGGGGACGGCGGAGCAAGGGGCAGCGGGACCUCGGGGCUGCGUCGGGGAACAUCCCGGUUCCGUUCCACCAGCUAGAGGAGAGAGGUCUGGUGACUGGAGAUCGAGCGGCGGUGGCAUCCGGGGGCAGCGAGCUCGGAGCGGUGGUGGUUCUCGGGCUCGGCAGAUCCGUUCGGUGGCCAGAGGAGUGCGACGCUCUGUUCCGCCAGCGACACAAGGGGUAGGCGCUGGUUAACGCAAAUGUAGAGGCGACGGGUGAGAACCGGAUUAUUUUUUCUUCGCCGGUGUUAGCCCAGGUGUUGGCGACGUGGAUAGGUUGCAUGUUCAGCUUGCAAGCAUUAAAUAAAAAUAGUGGGGAUUAACUUUAUAAAGAUUAUAGAUUUCAUUACCGACGAGCGGCAUAAUCUGAAAUUUUCUUUUUAUUCAUUUUUCUUUUACUUGACGCCAUAGAAUUUGGUUUCAACUAAGAGGAUUAUCUAGCAUCAGCAUCAGGUAUUUUAUACAUCCUAUCUGCUUAAAGUGUCACAAAACAAUGGAGAAAAGGAAAAGCAUAGGUUGGGCACAAACUAAGAAAGGGGGAUAAGGCACCGAGAGGGUCUUUAAUUAAUGAGAAAUGACCCCACUUGUGCACCAAAAAUGUUCAUACCAUGUUAUUUAUUACGAAUAUUUUUCUCAAUCGCCACCAAUUAUUUGAUACUAGAAACGACAACCUCUAAUAUUUGCAAUAAUAUGUUGCAUUUUCCUGCCAUGUUUGCCUCCUGUGGCAGUGGCAACUCUGGUUGGUCAAUCGAAGUCUUGGCAUCACAGUUAUAGCAGAAGCAAGC
rnacentral:lncRNA from 1 species